GGAGAGAUGGCAGAGUGGACGAUUGCGCCGGUCUUGAAAACCGUUGAACCCGCAAGGGUUCCGGGGGUUCGAAUCCCCCUCUCUCCG
rnacentral:tRNA from 1 species